rnacentral:lncRNA from 1 species
CGCAGUAAUUGUUCCAGACCCGGGGCAAGCUAAAUUCAGCACUCUCAUGCCCUGUAUAGAUGGGGUUGUUGUUUAACUCGAAUUCCACUGCUUUUUGAUGUGUUAUUUCAACUAGAAUGUGGAUUUUAUCACUCUUGAGUUUGUUUUCUGGGACAGCACACAACUUGUUCAUGAAGCUGCAGGAGAGACGGCUAAAAGGAAGAAUGUGACUCACAGGGCGGGUGGCUCUCCUGGGGCUGCGGUGGCCCAGGAGCCCCACACUGUUAAGUAUGGAGGUCCUAGAGGACAGGCCAUUCAGAGAUCACGCAGGAAGUGACUCUCCUUCCAGUAAGAGUGGAGCAACGGGGGCAGAAUUUACCUCCCACCCACCUAAGAAACAGACCAGAUACAGGAAACAACAGCGCCAGCCAUUGGAUAAUAGGCAGGGAGAAGCAUCUUUCCUUAGGCUAGGAACUGAUUGCUGCGCUCACCUUUGACCACCCAGCUCACCUGUGACCACCCAGCUGGAGACAACAGACCUGCCGCCCUGCUGUGUCCAUCAAUCGAGACAGCCGACCUACCUGCUGCGUCCAUCAAUCGCUGUGCCGACAGAGCAGUCUCGCGACUAUUGUAAACGGGACAUUUCAAUCCUAUGUGAAACAUCCUCUCUGGGGGUACAUAACCACUCUGUGCACCCCACUUCUUUGGUGCCCGUUCUUCCUUUGGGAAGAAAGGCCCCGGGCCACAGUCCUCACGUUUUAGCUCAGAAUAAACUCAUCCAAAUUUUCAUUUAUAGAUUGGUUAUGGAUUAUUUUCGUCCACAUGUCUAUAGGCAGAUAAGGAGAGUUCAGAGGAAGCCUCUCCCAGCGUUCACUUUUUUCAAGUGCCUUCUGAUGAGGAUUUUUAGGCUGCUUAAUUUUAAAACUGCAGAUGAGAAGCAGGCUCCGAGGACUGGAAUUUUGCUUGCCCUUUUGAGACAUUUGCGUUUGUGAAGGAAGGGGGGAUGAUCUUGUAGGGACCUGAAAUUGGCCACCCCAGGAUAUGUCUCUUUGGCAUCGGGAUUGUUU